GGUUAAGCGACUAAGCGUACACGGUGGAUGCCCUGGCAGUCAGAGGCGAUGAAGGACGUGCUAAUCUGCGAAAAGCGUCGGUAAGGUGAUAUGAACCGUUAUAACCGGCGAUGUCCGAAUGGGGAAACCCAGUGCAAUUCGUUGCACUAUCGUUAACUGAAUACAUAGGUUAACGAGGCGAACCGGGGGAACUGAAACAUCUAAGUACCCCGAGGAAAAGAAAUCAACCGAGAUUCCCCCAGUAGCGGCGAGCGAACGGGGAGCAGCCCAGAGUCUGAAUCAGCUUGUGUGUUAGUGGAACGGUCUGGAAAGUCCGACGGUACAGGGUGAUAGUCCCGUACACCAAAAUGCACAGGCUGUGAACUCGAAGAGUAGGGCGGGACACGUGGUAUCCUGUCUGAAUAUGGGGGGACCAUCCUCCAAGGCUAAAUACUCCUGACUGACCGAUAGUGAACCAGUACCGUGAGGGAAAGGCGAAAAGAACCCCGGCGAGGGGAGUGAAAAAGAACCUGAAACCGUGUACGUACAAGCAGUGGGAGCACCUUCGGGUGUGACUGCGUACCUUUUGUAUAAUGGGUCAGCGACUUAUAUUCUGUAGCAAGGUUAACCGUAUAGGGGAGCCGCAGGGAAACCGAGUCUUAACUGGGCGUUAAGUUGCAGGGUAUAGACCCGAAACCCGGUGAUCUAGCCAUGGGCAGGUUGAAGGUUGGGUAACACUAACUGGAGGACCGAACCGACUAAUGUUGAAAAAUUAGCGGAUGACUUGUGGCUGGGGGUGAAAGGCCAAUCAAACCGGGAGAUAGCUGGUUCUCCCCGAAAGCUAUUUAGGUAGCGCCUCGUGAACUCAUCUUCGGGGGUAGAGCACUGUUUCGGCUAGGGGGUCAUCCCGACUUACCAACCCGAUGCAAACUACGAAUACCGAAGAAUGUUAUCACGGGAGACACACGGCGGGUGCUAACGUCCGUCGUGAAGAGGGAAACAACCCAGACCGCCAGCUAAGGUCCCAAAGUCAUGGUUAAGUGGGAAACGAUGUGGGAAGGCACAGACAGCCAGGAUGUUGGCUUAGAAGCAGCCAUCAUUUAAAGAAAGCGUAAUAGCUCACUGGUCGAGUCGGCCUGCGCGGAAGAUGUAACGGGGCUAAACCAUGCACCGAAGCUGCGGCAGCGACACUAUGUGUUGUUGGGUAGGGGAGCGUUCUGUAAGCCUGCGAAGGUGUGCUGUGAGGCAUGCUGGAGGUAUCAGAAGUGCGAAUGCUGACAUAAGUAACGAUAAAGCGGGUGAAAAGCCCGCUCGCCGGAAGACCAAGGGUUCCUGUCCAACGUUAAUCGGGGCAGGGUGAGUCGACCCCUAAGGCGAGGCCGAAAGGCGUAGUCGAUGGGAAACAGGUUAAUAUUCCUGUACUUGGUGUUACUGCGAAGGGGGGACGGAGAAGGCUAUGUUAGCCGGGCGACGGUUGUCCCGGUUUAAGCAUGUAGGCUGGUUAUCCAGGCAAAUCCGGAUAAUCAAGGCUGAGGUGUGAUGACGAGGCACUACGGUGCUGAAGUAACAAAUGCCCUGCUUCCAGGAAAAGCCUCUAAGCAUCAGGUAACAUCAAAUCGUACCCCAAACCGACACAGGUGGUCAGGUAGAGAAUACCAAGGCGCUUGAGAGAACUCGGGUGAAGGAACUAGGCAAAAUGGUGCCGUAACUUCGGGAGAAGGCACGCUGGUGUGUAGGUGAAGUCCCUGCGGAUGGAGCUGAGACCAGUCGAAGAUACCAGCUGGCUGCAACUGUUUAUUAAAAACACAGCACUGUGCAAACACGAAAGUGGACGUAUACGGUGUGACGCCUGCCCGGUGCCGGAAGGUUAAUUGAUGGGGUUAUCCGUAAGGAGAAGCUCUUGAUCGAAGCCCCGGUAAACGGCGGCCGUAACUAUAACGGUCCUAAGGUAGCGAAAUUCCUUGUCGGGUAAGUUCCGACCUGCACGAAUGGCGUAAUGAUGGCCAGGCUGUCUCCACCCGAGACUCAGUGAAAUUGAACUCGCUGUGAAGAUGCAGUGUACCCGCGGCAAGACGGAAAGACCCCGUGAACCUUUACUAUAGCUUGACACUGAACAUUGAGCCUUGAUGUGUAGGAUAGGUGGGAGGCUUUGAAGCGUGGACGCCAGUCUGCGUGGAGCCAACCUUGAAAUACCACCCUUUAAUGUUUGAUGUUCUAACGUUGGCCCCUUACCGGGGUUGCGGACAGUGUCUGGUGGGUAGUUUGACUGGGGCGGUCUCCUCCCAAAGCGUAACGGAGGAGCACGAAGGUUAGCUAAUCCUGGUCGGACAUCAGGAGGUUAGUGCAAUGGCAUAAGCUAGCUUGACUGCGAGCGUGACGGCGCGAGCAGGUGCGAAAGCAGGUCAUAGUGAUCCGGUGGUUCUGAAUGGAAGGGCCAUCGCUCAACGGAUAAAAGGUACUCCGGGGAUAACAGGCUGAUACCGCCCAAGAGUUCAUAUCGACGGCGGUGUUUGGCACCUCGAUGUCGGCUCAUCACAUCCCGGGGCUGAAGUAGGUCCCAAGGGUAUGGCUGUUCGCCAUUUAAAGUGGUACGCGAGCUGGGUUUAGAACGUCGUGAGACAGUUCGGUCCCUAUCUGCCGUGGGCGCUGGAGAAUUGAGGGGGGCUGCUCCUAGUACGAGAGGACCGGAGUGGACGCAUCACUGGUGUUCGGGUUGUCAUGCCAAUGGCACUGCCCGGUAGCUAAAUGCGGAAGAGAUAAGUGCUGAAAGCAUCUAAGCACGAAACUUGCCCCGAGAUGAGUUCUCCCUGAGACUUUAAGUCUCCUGAAGGAACGUUGAAGACGACGACGUUGAUAGGCCGGGUGUGUAAGCGCAGCGAUGCGUUGAGCUAACCGGUACUAAUGAACCGUGAGGCUUAACCUU
rnacentral:rRNA from 1 species